rnacentral:misc_RNA from 1 species
UUAACUAUUAUAUAGUACUCAGACGACACUAUAAUUCAGAAUUUAGGGUCCUCUGGCGGGCACUCACCAGCCGAAGCCAGUAGCCGAAGCGGCCCGCCAAAGCAACAAAGGUAUAUAUUCAAGGGUGGGAGGUCUACCCCGAAGGGCAUGAACUCUGUAAUGAUCCUUCCGCAGGUUCACCUACGGAAA